rnacentral:ncRNA from 1 species
UAAUGUAAUUGAAAAUGAUUAUCAAUACCAAAAUAAGACAUUCCCCCCACACAUAUUUCGUUCUUAUUUGGAUUGAUCAUUUUCAAAAAUAUCCCCUUUUAUAUGCCCGUAAAAGACUAACGUUGCGAGACAACGUGAAUAUAAAAACCGGUUUUACAUUGUAAAAUCGGUUUUUAU